rnacentral:ncRNA from 1 species
AAGAUGUAAUCACAGAGAGAAGGUCAGCACUCCCUGUGAUAAGGAUGGAGGAGGUCCUAAUGGCCUUUACAACACAUACUCUAUGGCAUCUAACCAUGCUAAUCCACUGGACGAGAUGGGAGAAGAUACAAUACAGUUCUAU